ACGUCCUGCAGGAGGACUCAUCUCAGAAAAGACCUUUACGAGGUUUCUUUUGUUUUCCUUGAAGAUAAUAAAGAGAAAUUCUUCCUUGUUGUCACUGAGAGUCCAAGGUUGUGCUUUGAAAUCUCAUGAUACUGGAUGUUGUGUACAAUCACUUGAUUUAAGAUGUGGUUGUGCAUUUUGAUCGGCCUCAACUUCAUCACAAAGGUGCUCGGGUUUUCAAGUGCUCCCUUCCCACAGUCGUGUGGGUCAAUGUUACCCAUGCAUGAUGACAGAGAUGGACAACGUUUUGCUCCUCAGAGCACUGAACCACCCUAUGUUAUAAGUUACGAACAAGGCAACAAGGAAGAGCCCAUCACAGUUAUUCUUAAAAGCAACAACUCCACAGUAUUCCUGGGGUUUAUGUUAGAGGCCCGGGAGAGAGGGAUGGUGGACGAAGGCCGCCCUGUUGGCAAAUUUAUAAGUCUUGAAUCUUAUGAGACUCAA